GUGGUGGUAGCUCAGUAGGUUAGAGCACCUGGUUGUGGUUCAGGAGGUCGUCGGUUCGAUCCCGAUUCAUCACC